GUUUAUCUUCAGGGGCAGGGUGCAACUCCCGACCGGCGGUAAUAGGCCGCGACCUACAGUGAUGUAGUUGAACUGGUGUGAUUCCAGUGCCGACAGUAUAGUCUGGAUAAAGAAGAUAGGG
rfam:Lactobacillus ghanensis DSM 18630 NODE_5, whole genome shotgun sequence.